rnacentral:lncRNA from 1 species
UUUAGUCGUAUACUAUUUUGGGAUGUCAAAACUCAAAACUUAGUUAUUCUGACGGUGAAUAUCGUUAAUUGUUUGGUGAUGUCAACCCAUGUCUAUAUUUUCAAUUGAUUAUUUUGGUACUCGUGUACCGUCUACUAGUAGUAUUGAAUAUCAACUAUUUUAUGUACACAUACGCAUCGAUAUUCGAGUUAUAUACUAUAUAUUAUUUUCAUAUAUAUACGCGUGUGAAGAGUGACAAAAAUGCAUAGGU